AUCACUUCUUGGCCUUUUGACUAAGAUCAAGUGUAGUAUCUGUCCUUCAUUUAGCAAUACUCACGACAGCCAGGAAUCUGAUUUUUGAUGUAUUUUAAACUACAUUAAAUAUUGCAUCUGUUGCCUUUAAAAAAGAACAAACUUGGCUGGGUGUGGUGGCUCAUGCCUGUAAUCCCAGCACUUUGGGGAGGCCGAGGCAGAUGGAUC
ensembl:snRNA U2 U2 spliceosomal RNA